rnacentral:rRNA from 1 species
AUGAAGGUUUUAUAACAGUAUUAUUUUUUAAGGCUUAAAAUUAAUUUGUAUUAAGUAUAAAAAUAUACUUAUAAAUCUAAGGGACGAUAAGACCCUAAAAGUUUGAUUUGAUUGUAAAUAAUAUAUAGUUGUAUGUGAUUUUUGCUGGGGUAGCAAGACUGUGAAAAAUACAGGUUUAAUAUAACAUGAGUGAAUGUAGAUCCUUUUUAUGAGGAUAAAUAAAAAAAAUUACUUUAGGGAUAACAGUGUAAUAAUUUUGGAGAGAUCAUAUCAAUAAAGUUGAUUGCCACCUCGAUGUUGAAUUAGAUUUAUUACCUCUAUGAAGAAGGAGAGGCAGAAGGUUUGUUCAACCUUUAAAUUUCUACAUGAUUU